CAGAAACUGCAGAUUUGACAGCUGCACAGGAACCAACAGAAAGCGUGCCUGAAAACAGUCUGAGGUAUUGAAAUGGUCAAAUUCUUGCAACAGUCCUAUAGACUGGUGUGACUUCAGCUCUUCUAGCUGAUAUUUUACACCCUGCUAAGACUGAAGAUGCCCUGAGCCAGGCUUGAGCAGCAGAGAGAAGGACUAACAUGCCUCCCAGAGUGAAG
rnacentral:lncRNA from 12 species